UUUACCAGUCGGUAAUAAAAUACAGAUUACCCACACACACAAGAUUUUUAUUAAUUGAUUAAAAAUAAAUGCAACCUAAAUCAAUUUGUAUAUGAAUAAAAUUAUUUUUAGUCAGAACAGCUGCAUCCUAUUUGGAAAAAUACAUUAUGUGAUUUCAAGUGAUAACCUAUCACUACUCAAGGGAUAUACUUCAUAAUUGCAUUGAUAAAAAAAAAUACUAAGGAAUGACUAAAACAUCGAAUCAAUUGGAUUUAUCAAGAUUCUACAUUAUAGAAUAUUACAAAUUCAUUAUAAAUCGGCUUAAAUUUGAUCUUCCUUAUUUGUUGUUGUUGUUGUUGAUAUUAUAACAUUAUAAUUUUAGUAAAAUAAAUACAAAUGAUAUUUGAUAAGAAUUAUUACGUAAUAAAAUACACCACGAUGCUGUUAAACACUUGAAUGUAAAUUGCAAUCAAUAUAUGAUAUACUAUUUAUGAAUAAACGUACAUUUAUAUUUACUGUAUAUAUAAUAUGUUAAUUAUAGCAUACACAAAUGAUGUAUAAUAU